UCUACGGGCGGCAGCAGUGGGGGAUAUUGCACAAUGGGGGAAACCCUGAUGCAGCGACGCCGCGUGAGUGAAGAAGUAUUUCGGUAUGUAAAGCUCUAUCAGCAGGGAAGAAAAAAGACGGUACCUGACUAAGAAGCCCCGGCUAACUACGUGCCAGCAGCCGCGGUAAUACGUAGGGGGCAAGCGUUAUCCGGAUUUACUGGGUGUAAAGGGAGCGUAGACGGCAAUACAAGUCGGAAGUGAAAUACCCGGGCUCAACCUGGGAACUGCUUUGGAAACUGUAUGGCUAGAGUGCUGGAGAGGUAAGUGGAAUUCCUAGUGUAGCGGUGAAAUGCGUAGAUAUUAGGAGGAACACCAGUGGCGAAGGCGGCUUACUGGACUGUAACUGACGUUGAGGCUCGAAAGCGUGGGGAGCAAACAGGAUUAGAUACCCUGGUAGUC
rnacentral:rRNA from 1 species